AGACGUCUACAUUAGAUACCCGCGUAGUCCCAGCCGUAAACUAUGCGCGUUAGGUGUAUCGGUGACCACGAGUCACCGAGGUGCCGAAGGGAAACCGUGAAACGUGCCGCCUGGGAAGUACGGUCGCAAGGCUAGAAACUUAAAGGAAUUGGCGGGGAGCACCACAACGGGUGGAGCCUGCGGUUUAAUUGGACUCAACGCCGGGAAGCUCACCGGAUAAGACAGCGGAAUGAUUGCCGGGCUGAAGACUCUGUCAUGACUAGCUG
rnacentral:rRNA from 1 species